GUAAAUUUCUCCGAUCUCAUAUUUCCUAAGGUUUAUGCUAUGGAAGAUGAGGCCGUAGGGUAUAUUUAGAAAUUUAUAUGCCUCCCGUUGGAAAGGAGAUAG
rnacentral:ncRNA from 1 species